GAUGAACGCUGGCGGCGUGCCUAAUACAUGCAAGUCGAGCGAACGGACGAGAAGCUUGCUUCUCUGAUGUUAGCGGCGGACGGGUGAGUAACACGUGGAUAACCUACCUAUAAGACUGGGAUAACUUCGGGAAACCGGAGCUAAUACCGGAUGAUAUUUUGAACCGCAUGGUUCAAAAGUGAAAGACGGUCUUGCUGUCACUUAUAGAUGGAUCCGCGCUGCAUUAGCUAGUUGGUAAGGUAACGGCUUACCAAGGCAACGAUGCAUAGCCGACCUGAGAGGGUGAUCGGCCACACUGGAACUGAGACACGGUCCAGACUCCUACGGGAGGCAGCAGUAGGGAAUCUUCCGCAAAGGGCGAAAGCCUGACGGAGCAACGCCGCGUGAGUGAUGAAGGUCUUCGGAUCGUAAAACUCUGUUAUUAGGGAAGAACAUAUGUGUAAGUAACUGUGCACAUCUUGACAGUACCUAAUCAGAAAGCCACGGCUAACUACGUG
rnacentral:rRNA from 1 species